rnacentral:rRNA from 1 species
CGGAAGACCAAGGGUUCCUGUCCAACGUUAAUCGGGGCAGGGUGAGUCGACCCCUAAGGCGAGGCCGAAAGGCGUAGUCGAUGGGAAACGGGUUAAUAUUCCCGUACUUGGUGUUACUGCGAAGGGGGGACGGAGAAGGCUAUGUUGGCCGGGCGACGGUUGUCCCGGUUUAAGCGUGUAGGUGUGUGUUCCAGGUAAAUCCGGUUCACUUUAACACUGAGGCGUGACGACGAGGCACUACGGUGCUGAAGCAACAAAUGCCCUGCUUCCAGGAAAAGCCUCUAAGCAUCAGGUAACAUCAAAUCGUACCCCAAACCGACACAGGUGGUCAGGUAGAGAAUACCAAGGCGCUUGAGAGAACUCGGGUGAAGGAACUAGGCAAAAUGGUGCCGUAACUUCGGGAGAAGGCACGCUGACACGUAGGUGAAGUGAUUUACUCAUGGAGCUGAAGUCAGUCGAAGAUACCAGCUGGCUGCAACUGUUUAUUAAAAACACAGCACUGUGCAAACACGAAAGUGGACGUAUACGGUGUGACGCCUGCCCGGUGCCGGAAGGUUAAUUGAUGGGGUCAGCGCAAGCGAAGCUCCUGAUCGAAGCCCCGGUAAACGGCGGCCGUAACUAUAACGGUCCUAAGGUAGCGAAAUUCCUUGUCGGGUAAGUUCCGACCUGCACGAAUGGCGUAAUGAUGGCCAGGCUGUCUCCACCCGAGACUCAGUGAAAUUGAACUCGCUGUGAAGAUGCAGUGUACCCGCGGCAAGACGGAAAGACCCCGUGAACCUUUACUAUAGCUUGACACUGAACAUUGAGCCUUGAUGUGUAGGAUAGGUGGGAGGCUUUGAAGUGUGGACGCCAGUCUGCAUGGAGCCGACCUUGAAAUACCACCCUUUAAUGUUUGAUGUUCUAACGUGGACCCGUUACCCGGGUUGCGGACAGUGUCUGGUGGGUAGUUUGACUGGGGCGGUCUCCUCCUAAAGAGUAACGGAGGAGCACGAAGGUUGGCUAAUCCUGGUCGGACAUCAGGAGGUUAGUGCAAUGGCAUAAGCCAGCUUGACUGCGAGCGUGACGGCGCGAGCAGGUGCGAAAGCAGGUCAUAGUGAUCCGGUGGUUCUGAAUGGAAGGGCCAUCGCUCAACGGAUAAAAGGUACUCCGGGGAUAACAGGCUGAUACCGCCCAAGAGUUCAUAUCGACGGCGGUGUUUGGCACCUCGAUGUCGGCUCAUCACAUCCUGGGGCUGAAGUAGGUCCCAAGGGUAUGGCUGUUCGCCAUUUAAAGUGGUACGCGAGCUGGGUUUAGAACGUCGUGAGACAGUUCGGUCCCUAUCUGCCGUGGGCGCUGGAGAACUGAGGGGGGCUGCUCCUAGUACGAGAGGACCGGAGUGGACGCAUCACUGGUGUUCGGGUUGUCAUGCCAAUGGCACUGCCCGGUAGCUAAAUGCGGAAGAGAUAAGUGCUGAAAGCAUCUAAGCACGAAACUUGCCCCGA